ACGCUGGCGGCAGGCCUAACACAUGCAAGUCGAGCGGUAGAGAGAAGCUUGCUUCUCUUGAGAGCGGCGGACGGGUGAGUAAUGCCUAGGAAUCUGCCUGGUAGUGGGGGAUAACGUUCGGAAACGGACGCUAAUACCGCAUACGUCCUACGGGAGAAAGCAGGGGACCUUCGGGCCUUGCGCUAUCAGAUGAGCCUAGGUCGGAUUAGCUAGUUGGUGGGGUAAUGGCUCACCAAGGCGACGAUCCGUAACUGGUCUGAGAGGAUGAUCAGUCACACUGGAACUGAGACACGGUCCAGACUCCUACGGGAGGCAGCAGUGGGGAAUAUUGGACAAUGGGCGAAAGCCUGAUCCAGCCAUGCCGCGUGUGUGAAGAAGGUCUUCGGAUUGUAAAGCACUUUAAGUUGGGAGGAAGGGCAGUUACCUAAUACGUGAUUGUUUUGACGUUACCGACAGAAUAAGCACCGGCUAACUCUGUGCCAGCAGCCGCGGUAAUACAGAGGGUGCAAGCGUUAAUCGGAAUUACUGGGCGUAAAGCGCGCGUAGGUGGUUCGUUAAGUUGGAUGUGAAAUCCCCGGGCUCAACCUGGGAACUGCAUUCAAAACUGACAAGCUAGAGUAUGGUAGAGGGUGGUGGAAUUUCCUGUGUAGCGGUGAAAUGCGUAGAUAUAGGAAGGAACACCAGUGGCGAAGGCGACCACCUGGACUGAUACUGACACUGAGGUGCGAAAGCGUGGGGAGCAAACAGGAUUAGAUA
rnacentral:rRNA from 1 species